UCGGGGUGGGACUAAGACAUGCGAGUCGAGCGUCUCUAGCUAUGUUGAGACGCGGCAUACGGCUCAGUAACACGUGGCUAACCUACCCCCAGGACGGGGACAAACCCGGGAAACUGGGGCUAAUAUCCGAUAGGCGAGGAAUCCUGGAAUGGUUCUUCACCCAAAGGACAUUGGAAACAUGCUUUCUUUGUCGCCUGGGGAUGGGGCCGCGACCGAUCAGGUUGUUGGUGAGGUAAUGGCUCACCAAGCCUUUAACCGGUACGGGCCGUGAGAGCGGUAGCCCGGAGAUGGGUACUGAGACAAGGACCCAGGCCCUACGGGGCGCAGCAGUCGCGAAAACUCCGCAAUGCACGAAAGUGUGACGGGGCUACCCCGAGUGCCAUCCGCUGAGGAUGGCUUUUCCUUGGGUAUAACUAGCCGAGGGAAUAAGGAGAGGGCAAGACUGGUGUCAGCCGCCGCGGUAAUACCAGCUCUCCGAGUGGUAGGGAUGAUUAUUGGGCUUAAAGCGUCCGUAGCCGGCUUAGCAAGUCUCCUGUUAAAUUCAGCGACCUAAUCGUUGAUCCGCGGGAGAUACUACUAGGCUAGGAGGCGGGAGAGGUCGACGGUACUUCUGGGGUAGGGGUGAAAUCCUAUAAUCCCAGGAGGACCACCAGUGGCGAAGGCUGUCGACUAAAACGCGCUCGACGGUG
rnacentral:rRNA from 1 species